CCUUGCAUGUGCUUAUGGCCUGCAUUUCUGCUGUAUCAUCAUUGGUUAUCAUGUGGACUACCGGUGUGCCCCACUGCGAGUCCUGAUGGGUUGUAUAACUUCACCUGUGUAAGUUCUCAAUUUUACUGAUGUAUUUGUAAGUUUCAGGCUUUGAAAAUUCUUGUUGAAAUAUUCAGCAGAGCAUGUUGUAAUUGCUGCAUCAGUAUCCAAUUCUAAGGUAUGUAAUUUUCCAUUUAAGUUUAAUGUUAUAUUGAAUUUAUCAUUUUGUGUCAUAUUUUCCAAUGGUAUUUUAUGUAUCUCAUAUAUUUCUUCAUCGCUGUCAUGUGAUGAUGAAUCUUCUUCAACUUCUAGUUGUUUUGCUCCUCUAG